AUAUCAUAGUCAUUUUAUGAUUAAGUACAGUACAUAUAUUACAUGUUUUUCCUUUAAGAAGGGGUAUCAGUACAUUACAGAACACCCUCUAUAAAACUAAAGCCAUACAUGCAAGGUUUUAAACUCCAUUUUUUCCCCAGAGGAUACACAGGAAAUGUAAGUGAAUUGAGAAAUAAUGAAUGAAGUCACUAUAAAAUGUAUGUUGAUUGAUCAUCGAGGAUCCUCGUCUCUGGAGUCCAGAAAGGCCUGUUGUUAUCACCUUUACAACACGUCAUGUAAGGUUAUUACAAAACACCACUAAACCCUCUCCAAAUGACAGAUUUCUGACUUGGUCUGAGAAGUGCAAUGCAUGGCAAGCUCCUGAAAGGUAUAACCCCAACGCACACAUACACACACACAAAUACACACCUACAUUACCAAAAAUCACAAAAUGACAGACAUGACAGUAGAACUCUGUCAGCAGAACAUCUUAAUAUCGCCUGGUGAAGACAUUGUGGGAGGGACCAAGGAGAGACAUCUAAAGGUCUCUCCUUUGCCCUUUGUGGAUGCCUUGUAUUUGGACCCUCUUGAGAGCUUGAGUAGGCUUGUCUAGGCUAUUUUUUUUUUUUAGCCUUACAAUGACUGUUGGGAAAAUGACCAGACAUUGUUGUUAACUUGUUUCUAAUGAAUAAUUUAAUUUGCAUCAUCUGACCAGUUUUUUCAAAGACAUUAUUGUUGUGUCCGAAAUAUCACUCUAAGUCUCAAACUUAAAAACAAGAGUCAGAGUAGAUCUGAAGUUUACUGUCGUCCCGUCCAGCAAUGGAGGUGGUUCAUGAAGCAUCUCGGUGUGUGUGUGCGCUGAGCAGGGCCCCUACUCCUCCUAUAGGGCGUAUUCACCCACGUGACCCCUAUCCAUAACAACAAGCUUUGGCGGCCAUCUUGGGGUCCAUGUACGGCAUUGUUUUGCUGUGUUUUAUUCCGCUCUGACCAUCAUAUUCUGAAGGAGACACAAUUUCAGUGCCUUGUAAUUAUGGUACUGUGCCUCAUUGUUGGAUGUGGGACUAGGACGGGUAAAGCGCACACACACCGCGAAAAGGUUAGGUUAUUUCGCGUCCCGCGUGUGAUAACUAACCAGGGGGAACAUGUGGAUGGACUAACAUCUACUCGGCGCAGACAAUGGAUUUCUGCCAUAAGUAGAGCGAAUCUGACAGCGGAGAAGUUGGAGAAUGAACGUGUGUGUGGUAGCUUCAAAAGUUCUUGCUGCUCCUGAGGAACAAGACAACGCUACUACUGGUACCAAAGAAACAUGGACAACUUCACAUCAUCCAGAAAACCAGACUCCAUCCAGUUGUACGGAACUCACAGGGCAUGGGGGGACGUACAUCUGACAAGCACCUUACAGCAAACUGCGGUCUGUUGGAAAGACUGAAACCUGGUGACUUAGUCAUGGCUGAUCGUGGUUUCACAAUUCAAGAGAGCCUUGCCCUACGCCAAGUGAAACUGGCCAUUCCUACAUUCACUCGUGGUAGCAAACAGCUUGACCCAGUUGACAUUGAGCACACAAGAGGAAUUGCCAAUGUGAGGAUACAUGUUGAACGUGUGAUUGGACAGUUGAAACAGAAGUACAAGAUGUUACAGGAAACCUUGGAGAUUGAUUAUGUCAGCCUUACUGGUGGUUCCACAGAACCGAUGGUAGACAGAAUUAUCAGAGUAUGUGCUGUGUUAACAAACAUGUGCCCAUCAGUUGUACCCUUAACUUGAAUUGCAGAUGUCUCAACCAUUACAUGAUAAGGACACUGUUUUUUAUUUGAUA